rnacentral:rRNA from 1 species
CGGCGAAGCACGGGCCGGCGGCCGCGGUGUGGCGGAUGGGGCGAGCUGUAUCCGGAUUUACUGGGCGUAAAGGGCGCGCAGGCGGCGUCGUAAUUCGGGCUUAAAAGUGCGGGGCUGAACCCCGUGAGUGGACCGAAACUGCGAUGCUAGAGUAUCGGAGAGGAAAGCGGAAUUCCUAGUGUAGCGGUGAAAUGCGUAGAUAUUAGGAGGAACACCAGUGGCGAAAGCGGCUUUCUGGACGACAACUGACGCUGAGGCGCGAAAGCCAGGGGAGCAAACGGGAUUAGAUACCCCUGUAGUC